rnacentral:sRNA from 1 species
GAUUCUUGGUCAUUUUAGAGGAAGUAACAAGGAUUCCCCUAGUAACUGCGAGUGAAGCGGGAAAAGCUCAAAUUUAAAAUCUGGCGGUCUCCGGCCGUCCGAGUUGUAAUCUAGAGAAGUGCCAUCCGCGCUGGACCGUGUACAAGUCUCCUGAAUGGAGCGUCAUAGAGGGUGAGAAUCCCGUCUUUGACACGGACUGCCAGGGCUUUGUGAUGCGCUCUCAAAGAGUCGAGUUGUUUGGGAAUGCAGCUCAAAAUGGGUGGUAAAUUCCAUCUAAAGCUAAAUAUUGGCGAGAGACCGAUAGCGAACAAGUACCGUGAGGGAAAGAUGAAAAGAACUUUGGAAAGAGAGUUAAACAGUACGUGAAAUUGCUGAAAGGGAAACGCUUGAAGUCAGUCGCGUUGGCCGGGGAUCAACCUUGCUUUUGCUGGGCGUACUUUCCGGUCGACGGGUCAGCAUCAAUUUUGACCGUUGGAUAAAGUUCAGGGGAAUGUGGCAUCUUCGGAUGUGUUAUAGCCCUUGGUCGCAUACAACGAUUGGGAUUGAGGAACUCAGCACGCCGCAAGGCCGGGUACUUGUACCACGUUCGUGCUUAGGAUGCUGGCAUAAUGGCUUUAAUCGACCCGUCUUGAAACACGGACCAAGGAGUCUAACAUGCCUGCGAGUGUUUGGGUGGA